UACGUAGGGACCAAGCGUUGUUCGGAUUUACUGGGCGUAAAGGGCGCGUAGGCGGCUUGACAAGUCACUUGUGAAAUCUCCGGGCUUAACUCGGAACGGCCAAGUGAAACUGUCAUGCUAGAGUGCAGAAGGGGCAAUCGGAAUUCUUGGUGUAGCGGUGAAAUGCGUAGAUAUCAAGAGGAACACCUGAGGCGAAGGCGGGUUGCUAGGCUGACACUGACGCUGAGGCGCGAAAGCUAGGGUAGCAAACGGG
rnacentral:rRNA from 1 species